rnacentral:rRNA from 1 species
GUCUAUGGCUAUACCACCCUGAAUGCGCCCAAUCUCAUCUGAUCUCAGAAGCUAAGCAGGGUCGGGCCUGGUUAGUACUUGGUUGGGAGAAAUAUUUUUGUCUUAUGAAUUCUGUAAUAGAUU